CAUCUCCCUAGUCCCUGUUUGCUUUUUUCUUUUCUUUUUGUUAUUUUGAGAUAGGGUCUUACUAUAUAACUCUGAUUGUCCUUCAACUCACUACAUAGACUGUAGAGCAGGCUGGCCUUCACCACACAGGGACCCAUCUGCAUCUGCCCCCUACGUGCUGGGAUCAAAGGCGUGCGCCACUGUGCCUGGCCCUGUUUACUUUCUUCAUUGGUGAGUACAGGGCAGUGCGUCCUUGCUGGUUGUGUAUAAUAGCGUGCCCCUUUUUACUCAUCAUAAAAUGUCUAGUUAAAAACAGAUUUUCUAGAUAAACCUUUUUUGUUUCUACAUAAAACUUAGACCAGUUGUGAGAAGCCAAGAUAGCAGCUAUCUUUGGUGGGAGAAUGCCCAAGAGAAGACACAGAAAAAUUUGGAGCUCUGGAAAUGUUCUACGUUACAGACUAGAGAGGGGUGACAUGAGUGUUUAUGUAUGUAAAUGUUUUAACUUUACACUUAAGAUGUGUAUACUUUACCACACAUGCUAUCAAGUAUAUUGAAUUUUAAGUCCAUCGUAAAUUAGUUUCCCUAGAUAAGCUACAGGUUGAACGACCCUGAUUUAAAAUAUCCAAACUCUGAAGCAAUUCAAAGUAUGAAAGCAGUCAGCAGUGGUGUACACCCUUGAUCUCAGCACUCAGGAGGCAGAGGCAGGUGGAUCUCUGAAUCUGAGGCCAGCCUGGUCUGUAGAGUGAGUCCAGGACAGCCAGGGCUACACAGAGAAACCCUGCCCUGAAAAACAGACAAACAAGAGCAAGAACCUUUUGAGCACUGACAUGCACACGUAAGUAGAGUUCUCUACCUGGCUUUGUGUGGUGAGCUUCAGUCAGAAGCAAGUGUGGGAACAAAUCAUCCUCAUGACCUCUGAGCUGUGAGGAUAAGGUGUUUGUAAACCAGACCCACACCCAAAGCAGUUCUGUUCCCAAACAGCUGGGAGAAAGCUUACUUAACCUGUGCUAUACAUCAUAUACUUCAGAUCAGUUGUGAGCUGAGUGACGACAGACCGCAGGCAGGUGUGGACCUCCCUACCACACGCACGCAGGCACGCACGCACACACACACACACACACACACACACACACACACACACACACACGUGCCUUGCCUAAAGUCGAAAAGUGGACCUUUUGAGCUUCCAUUUGGGGUGACUGUUACUCUGUGGCGCGUCCUGAACAGUUAUCUCAGGCCUAAUGGUCAUUGUGGAUUUUUGUUGUGGUUUCCACCUGGCCAGGCCCUGAGGUAGGCACUUUGUCUACAGUAGUUGAUUCAGCCUCUGCCUCAGCUUUAAGGAUGAAUGCAGUUCUCAUCAUUCCCACUGUUACAUGUGAAAACCGAGAGGUAAGUGUAAGUCACCUUCUGAAGGCAAGUGUUAGUAACUUACAGGGUCAAAGCAGACAUUUCCCUGCUGCCCUUGAACACUUGGGCGUCCUUUGCACGUGUGAUAGGAUUAUUCCAGACUGUGACUCAGCUCUCCUUGUCUUACUGGCCAGCGUUGUUUAAAGGAUUUAAGCCUUUCCUCCUCAUUUUUGCUCUCUUCCCCCCUAGAUCCUGUUCCUUGCUUUUAGUUUCCCCCCAGUUCUGGGGAUCAAUCCUCAAGUCCAGAGGCAGGUACUGUACUGCUGAGCUGCACCCCCAGCCUAUAAGAGCAGAACCACAUUCAAAGCAGGAAAUGUAGUUAGUGCAUUAAAGAAGAUGUUAGCUGUAGGUGUUUACUGUGGGCCGACUCCUCUCCCCUAACUUGUUGACUAAGCCCGGCUUCACCCAGCACUUUCUUUUUUUUCUACUCACAACCUGAGUGCCCCGUGGAGGUGAAGGACACAGCCUGAGCCUGCGCCAUCAGUCAGGAGAACAAAUGGGCUUGCUCUGCCUACCAUCGGGCCAUCUCGGAUUCCACCUCUUUUAUAGAAAUGAGUGAUGAAGAGAGUGUUUCUGGACCUCAUACAAGGGGAUUCAUAUUGACGAGUUUCACCCAGUUCUGUUCCUGAGAUUCAUGCAUGUUUUCUUGUACAAAAUCCUUUUGUUUCUGCCCGCCAUGCACAGAGUAUUCUACUGUAUAAGGAGACCUGCGCCACAGCUCAGUUACUUGAUGGCCAUUGGAUUAUAUCCUGUUUUACACUGUUGUGAGGAUGGUGUAGGCAUUCUUCUCAGUUACCUCACACUCAUUUGAGGGUGGUUUUUCAGAAACCACACAAUACUUGACAGAGACAUGGCCAGAACCUCGAGCAUUUCUGGUGGAAGUGCAUCCUAUGGAAAGCUGCAGUUUCUCAAGAUGGUCGUCAUCAAACUGUCACGAGACCUGCCAGCUCUGCGUCUUGGUUAUGUCACCUAAAGAGUUAAAAGCAGAAAAUUAAAAACGGUUUAAAAAUGUUA
rnacentral:sRNA from 1 species